rnacentral:rRNA from 1 species
CGAUGCGACUGCUAAGACUGGCUUGCGCCACAUUAGUUAGUUGGUAGGGUAAAAGCCUACCAAGACGAUGAUGUGUAGCUGGACUGAGAGGUUGAACAGCCACAUUGGGACUGAGACACGGCCCAAACUCCUACGGGAGGCAGCAGUAGGGAAUUUUCGGCAAUGGAGGAAACUCUGACCGAGCAACGCCGCGUGAACGAUUAAGUAUUUCGGUAUGUAAAGUUCUUUUAUUGAAGAAGAAAAAGUAGUGGAAAAACUAUAUUGACGUUAUUCAAUGAAUAAGCCCCGGCUAACUAUGUGCCAGCAGCCGCGGUAAGACCUAGGGGGCGAGCGUUAUCCGGAAUUAUUGGGCGUAAAGGGUGCGUAGGCUGUUAGAUAAGUCUAUAAUUUAAUUUCAGUGCUUAACGCUGUCUUGUUAUAGAAACUGUCUUGACUAGAGUGAGAUAGAGGCAAGCGGAAUUCCAUGUGUAGCGGUAAAAUGUGUAAAUAUAUGGAGGAACACCAGAAGCGUAGGCGGCUUGCUGGGUCUUUACUGACGCUGAGGCACGAAAGCGUGGGUAGCAAACAGGAUUAGAUACCCUGGUAGUCCACGCCGUAAACGAUGAGUACUAAGUGUCGGGGUAAAACUCGGUACUGAAGUUAACACAUUAAGUACUCCGCCCAAGUAGUACGUACGCAAGUAUGAAACUUAAAGGAAUUGACGGGACUCCGCACAAGCGGUGGAUCAUGUUGUUUAAUUCGAAGAUACACGAAAAAUCUUACCAGGUCUUGACAUACUCUGCAAAGCUAUAGAAAUAUAGUGGAGGUUAUCAGGGAUACAGGUGGUGCAUGGUUGUCGUCAGUUCGUGUCGUGAGAUGUUAGGUUAAGUCCUAAAACGAGCGCAACCCUUGUCGUUAAUUGCCAGCACGUAAUGGUGGGGACUUUAGCGAGACUGCCAAUUAAACAUUGGAGGAAGGUGAGGAUUACGUCAAAUCAUCAUGCCCCUUAUGAUCUGGGCUACAAACGUGAUACAAUGGCUGUGACAAAGAGUAGCUGAAACGCGAGUUUUUAGCCAAUCUCAAAAAAGCAGUCUCAGUUCGGAUUGAAGUCUGUAACUCGACUUCAUGAAGUUGGAAUCGCUAGUAAUCGCGAAUCAGCAUGUCGCGGUGAAUACGUUCUCGGGGUUUGUACACACCGCCCGUCAAACCACGAAAGUAGCAAUCCCUGUACACACCGCCCGUCACAGACCCGACUG